rnacentral:misc_RNA from 1 species
CGAAAUGCGAUAAGUAAUGUGAAUUGCAGAAUUCAGUGAAUCAUCGAAUCUUUGAACGCACAUUGCGCCCUUUGGCAUUCCGAAGGGCAUGCCUGUUCGAGCGUCAUUACACCAAUCAAGCCUGGCUUGGUAUUGGGCGACGGGGCCGCCAGCCGGCGGCACCCGCGCCUUAAUGACCUUUCCGGCGGGACGGACCGUAUCUCAGCGUUGUGGUAAAAAAGCCGCUGGCGAGACGGGACGGCCGUGCCGUUAAACCCACCAAUUUUCUUAAGGUUGACCUCGGAUCAGGUAGGGAUACCCGCUGAACUUAAGC